ACACGUCUACAUUAGAUACCCCUGUAGUCCCAGCCGUAAACUAUGCGCGUUAGGUGUAUCGGUGACCACGAGUUACCGAGGUGCCGAAGGGAAACCGUGAAACGUGCCGCCUGGGAAGUACGGUCGCAAGGCUGAAACUUAAAGGAAUUGGCGAGGGAGCACCACAACAGGUGGAGCCUGCGGUUUAAUUGGACUCAACGCCGGACAACUCACCGGGACGACAGCAAUAUGUAGGCCAGGCUGAAGACCUUGCCCGAAUCGCUG
rnacentral:rRNA from 1 species